rfam:Gossypium raimondii chromosome 13, whole genome shotgun sequence.
CAUAAGUAGUGGUUUGGUUAAGGGAACCCACCGGAGCCGUAGCGAAAGCGAAUUUUCAUAGGGAAAUUUUCAUUACUUAUGGACCCGAACCUAGGUGAUCAAUCCAUGACCAAGAUGAAGCUUGGAUGAAACUAAGUGAAGGUCUGAACCGACUCAUAGAAAUUUCUAAAAUUUUUCCAUGUUGAAUGCCUAUAAAAGCCUAAUGAAUACUGC